rnacentral:rRNA from 1 species
UACGUAGGGUGCAAGCGUUUGUCCGGAAUUAUUGGGCGUAAAGAGCUCGUAGGCGGUCUGUCGCGUCGGCUGUGAAAACCCGGAGCUCAACUCCGGGCCUGCAGUCGAUACGGGCAGACUGGAGUUCGGCAGGGGAGACUGGAAUUCCUGGUGUAGCGGUGAAAUGCGCAGAUAUCAGGAGGAACACCGGUGGCGAAGGCGGGUCUCUGGGCCGAUACUGACGCUGAGGCACGAAAGCCAGGGGAGCGAAACGGG